GUGUCAGCCGCCGCGGUAAGACAGAGGUGCCGAGCGUUAGGCGGAAUCACUGGGCUUAAAGCGUGUGUAGGCGGAGUGCUAAGUACCUUGUGAAAUCCCACGGCUUAACCGUGGAACUGCUUGGUAUACUGGUUCUCUUGGGUCAUCUAGGGGCGAGCGGAACAAACGGUGGAGCGGUGAAAUGCGUAGAUAUCGUUUGGAACGCCAAUGGUGAAAACAGCUCGCUGGGGAUGCACCGACGCUGAGACACGAAAGCCAGGGGAGCGAACGGGAUUAGAAACCCCCGUAGUCC
rnacentral:rRNA from 1 species